UAGUUGGUGAGGUAAUGGCUCACCAAGGCGACGAUCCCUAGCUGGUCUGAGAGGAUGACCGGCCACACUGGAACUGAGACACGGUCCAGACUCCUACGGGAGGCAGCAGUGGGGAAUAUUGCACAAUGGGCGCAAGCCUGAUGCAGCCAUGCCGCGUGUAUGAAGAAGGCCUUCGGGUUGUAAA
rnacentral:rRNA from 1 species